rnacentral:misc_RNA from 1 species
AGGUGAACCUGCGGAGGGAUCAUUACACAAAUAUGAAGGCGGGCUGGAACCUCUCGGGGUUACAGCCUUGCUGAAUUAUUCACCCUUGUCUUUUGCGUACUUCUUGUUUCCUUGGUGGGUUCGCCCACCACUAGGACAAACAUAAACCUUUUGUAAUUGCAAUCAGCGUCAGUAACAAAUUAAUAAUUACAACUUUCAACAACGGAUCUCUUGGUUCUGG